CUACGGGAGGCAGCAGUGGGGAAUUUUCCGCAAUGGGCGAAAGCCUGACGGAGCAACGCCGCGUGAGGGAUGAAGGCCUCUGGGCUGUAAACCUCUUUUAUCAAGGAAGAAGAUCUGACGGUACUUGAUGAAUAAGCCACGGCUAAUUCCGUGCCAGCAGCCGCGGUAAUACGGGAGUGGCAAGCGUUAUCCGGAAUUAUUGGGCGUAAAGCGUCCGCAGGCGGUCUGUCAAGUCUGCUGUUAAAGCGUGGAGCUUAACUCCAUUUCGGCAGUGGAAACUGACAGACUAGAGUGUGGUAGGGGCAGAGGGAAUUCCCGGUGUAGCGGUGAAAUGCGUAGAUAUCGGGAAGAACACCAGUGGCGAAGGCGCUCUGCUGGGCCAUAACUGACGCUCAUGGACGAAAGCCAGGGGAGCGAAAGGGAUUAGAUACCCCUGUAGUCCUGGCCGUAAACGAUGAACACUAGGUGUCGGGGGAAUCGACCCCCUCGGUGUCGUAGCCAACGCGUUAAGUGUUCCGCCUGGGGAGUACGCACGCAAGUGUGAAACUCAAAU
rnacentral:rRNA from 1 species